GGAGGAGAGCUCCCCGCCUGGCGCUGGAGAAAUGGGUAAGUUUAACCCCUUCCUCUCCCCAGGGAGGGGGUCCCUGAGGGUGGGGUCACCCUCAGGGCACUAUAGUACCAGGAAAACAAGUAUGUUUUCCUGGCACUAUAGUGGUCCUUUAACAGAGGGAGAUAAAAAAAACAUUGAAUAAGUCUAGAGCAACAAGCUGACCUGUCAAGUAUCAUUCAAUAUUUCUUUACACCUAGCAUUCAAAGUUAUACAGCCCUUACAACUCUUCUUCUCAGUAUUGCUUGGAAAACAGAAGAAGAACAAAAUAACUCUGGGCAUUACAGAAAGGGUCUUGAAUUAUAAUUAGAUAGCUCCCUCAGUCUCAGGCCCUAAAUCUGUGAAAUGUAUACAUUUUCUGCAUUCCGCCCUGUUAGCAGGUAAAGCCACGUUAAUGGAGAUUUGUUCUCGACAGAGAGAUUAUUAUCCUCACAUAUGUUAAAAUGAAUUGAUUGAAAAUCAAAAGAAGUCAAGUUUGAUUUUUUAACACAUCCCCAUUUGGUGCCAUUGAUCCAAAAAUGCAAGCAAGUGAAAUUAUUUUUUUUACUAUAAAAGGACACAAUUUGUUCCUAGAGAACUGCAAUGGUCUCUUGCAUACAUUUCUUGUCUGAACCACAAGGAAGUCACAUUUUAUUUUGCAGGGACUUUUAAAUCCAAAAUGUUUUCUCUAUUCUUUGUUUUUGUUGUUGCUGAUAUUUUAUAUAUUUCUCCAGGAAGCAUAGUUAAACACCACGGCACUUGUGAAGUCGUUCCAAAAGAAGGAAGUUGAACAAAAGUAUAUUGUGAUAACAUGAGCCUAUUCUGCAACCAUAAACUGUCAUGUAAUAAAAACAAGUCAGUUCAUAGUAAUAAAAAAGAGGAAGUAAAAAAAAUCUUUCUUUCAGAACUCAGUGAUGACAUUUUUUUCCAUGAUCUACAGCAGGGUUAGUCAAUCCUUUAGUAGUACUGUGCCAAUGGAGAUUUUGAAGUCCUUUGGUGUGCCGGUACUAUUUAAAAAAAAAUUGAGGUGUGUAUGUUGCCGUAUUCUGCCUGUGUUAUUUGUGGGCACUGCAAUUGCUUUGUAGUGUUGUAUUUGUGCCUAUGUGGGCUGUUACAUUGUAUAGAAUACGUUCAUGAGCAGUAUGUGGCAUUGUAUAUGGUGUGUAUGAUACCUAUGAAUGUGGGUUGUCUAUGGAGGCUGCUUGUUGAAUUGUGUUUGGAUAAUGUGACACAUUGUGUAUAUGUGUGUUUGUGUGUGUAUGUACAGUGGGGUACACAUGACCCAUGGGGCCCCAGUGCGAAAAUUCAUCCGUGGGCUCCCCCCCCCCACUUACUCUGCACGAGCAGGGGCUGCGACCCCUGCGACUGCGGUAUGUACGCCAGUGCAUGCAGAUGCACACACACUUAAAGGACCACUACAGACACCCAGAUCACAUCAGCUCAAUGAAGUGGUCUGGGUGCCAGGUCCCUCUAGUUUUAACCCUGCAGCUGAAAACAUAGCAGUUUGCUAUGUUUCACUGAGGGUUAAUCCAGCCUCUAGUGGUUGUCUCAUUGACAGCCGCUAGAGGAGCUUCCGCGAUUCUAAGACACUGAACGUCCAUAGGAAAGCAUUGAGUAAUGCUUUCCUAUGGGCGGUUUGAAUGCGCGCGCGGCUCCUGCUGAGAGGUGGAGGGAUCUCCAGCGCCAAGGGAGUCCGGCACUGGAGAAAGGUAAGUGCUGAAGACACACACACUCUCACGAACAGACGCAUACAUACUAGCUAACAGACACACACAUUUACUGACGGAGACACACUCAGCAACAGACAUACAUACACACUCACAAAACAUACACUCUCACUGACAAAUACACACUCACUAACAGACAUCAAACAGACUCACUAACAGACACACACAAACAUACUCAGUAACAGACACACACAGUAACACACUCACUGACACUCACUAGCAGACACACACUCAAUAACAGACACACUCACUGACACUCACUAGCAGACACACACACUAACACACACACUAACACUCACACACACACUAACACUCACACACUAACACACACACUAACUCUAACACACACAUGUUUUUUUUUUAAAUUUAAUCCCCCAGCCUCCUUACCGUUUGGAGUGCUGAGGGCAUUUCCUGGGGUCCAGUGCUGUCACCAGGCGGGCAGGCAGGCAGGCUGGCUCGUGCACCGCGUACUGAUGCCGGAGCGGGAAGAUGAUGUCAUCUUCAGGCUCCGGUAUCAGUGCGGUGCGCGAGGGAGCUGAAGAGGGAGCACUCAGGGGAGAGUGCUCCCUCGCGCGCCCGCCAGCCCGGUGAUACAAGGGCCAGCCUCGGGGGGCCCUGAGGUGGCCGGCUCCUGGGCCCCCCAGGAGAAGAGGCUGGCCACAGUGGGUACAUACCGGGUCGCAGGGAUAUAGUCCAUAGUUUUGUGUUUGUGGGGUCUGUAUAUUAGUGUGUGAACUGUUUCUAUUAUUUGUAUAAGUGGGAGGCUUAUUCUGCAGCUCUGUGUUUAUUUAGCAGUGUGGGUGACUUUCCUUGGGCCCAGUAGGGACCGGGCUAGCCAGGAACAGGUCAAGGGCAGGAGCUGCAAUAGCUGCUGCGGGUUGCUCUACUCCAGUGUGGGGUUUCGUUCACAAGUGCUGGGAUAUAGUGAUCUGAGAUGGCGUUCACCAUCUGCAAUCAUCACUCAGUUUGCAGUAAGGACUCCUGAUGGACCCUGCCUGUUUGGCUCUGGUAGCAUUGAGUGCCAUACAAAUGUACCCUAAGUGCCAUGCAUGGCACACGUGCCGUAGGUUGAUGACCCCUGAUCUAUAGUCUUCAUCGUGUCCAGUCUCUAGUUGCCAUUGUACAGUGGAGACACAAAAACACUCCUAAAAAGUGACAAGCCUUCAGGUUCUCAGUGUACCUUUCCUAUUCUAUGAAUAAUUGUAUACUCAUAGCAAUAAAUCUAUAGUACAAUACUGAAGAGGAAGUACCUUUUGUUACACAACUAUGUGUUCUAAAAGCCACACCUUUCAUUUAAUGACUUUUUUUUUUUAACUAUUAAACAAUAAAUUGUAGCAAACUGAAAACCAACUUGCGAAAUUUAGGCUAAAAUAUACUAUAGCUGAGUUGAAGAAUGUUUCCAAAUGAUGUAUUUUUGCAUACAUUUGGCACAUGUGCAACAAACGUAAAUCAUGUUUUAGCUUUCAAGCAAACAUGUGGCCACAACCUUGUGUGCAUGAAAAGAAUCAGUGUAGCCCCCGCAAGGGAUACUAAAAUGAAGAAUGCUAUAAAGGAAUCUCAAGAACUCACACAGAAAAUUAUACUGAAAGUACUGCCCCUGGACUGAAAGGAAGGGCAGACAUGACUGCUGCCCAGAAGUAAGGGGGCUGGGACAGGAGUACAACAAUGUUGCAAGUCCAAAGGCAUAAAAAGGAGGAACAGGGGAGGGGACUCACCAGUCAUCCAGAAGGAAUGUAGGUGGCCCUGACUCUUUCCUGCCCACUCUCCCUGUGUUCUAGCUAAAUGGUUGUUUUUUUCCUGGUGUCUGUUCGUGGUUCUGGUUAUGUUUUCUCGUUGUCACAGCUCUGGCGGUGCUCCUGGCCAGUGAAAUGGAAAGUGAAGUGAAAUGAUGAGUCGGCUUGGGGUGUCGCAGCCUACCGAGGGCUGAUGGCGGUAGCCAGGCUGAUACGAACUCUGGACAAGGAAGUGGGAUCUGUCUGUUGGGGGAAGUUACCCAACAGCUGGCAGUUGGAUGGAAUGCUGGUCCGUUAAAAGUUGUAAACUUAAUAAAGCUGUGACCGUUGCCCUUACCCAUAACUCUGGUCUCAUGUGUUUUUGUUAGGGACAACUGGGGGUGGGGACUGG